rnacentral:rRNA from 1 species
CCGGCGACCGGCGGACGGGUGCGUAACGCGUAUGUAACCUACCUUUGACAGGGGGAUAACAUCGAGAAAUUGGUACUAAUACCCCAUAACAUCACCGGAGGCAUCUUCGGUGGUUGAAAACUCAGGUGGUCAGAGAUGGACAUGCGUUGUAUUAGCUAGUUGGUGAGGUAACGGCUCACCAAGGCGACGAUACAUAGGGGGACUGAGAGGCCAACCCCCCACAUUGGUACUGAGACACGGACCAAACUCCUACGGGAGGCAGCAG